UAGGGAAUCUUCGGCAAUGGACGGAAGUCUGACCGAGCAACGCCGCGUGAGUGAAGAAGGUUUUCGGAUCGUAAAGCUCUGUUGUAAGAGAAGAACGAGUGUGAGAGUGGAAAGUUCACACUGUGACGGUAUCUUACCAGAAAGGGACGGCUAACUACGUGCCAGCAGCCGCGGUAAUACGUAGGUCCCGAGCGUUGUCCGGAUUUAUUGGGCGUAAAGCGAGCGCAGGCGGUUAGAUAAGUCUGAAGUUAAAGGCUGUGGCUUAACCAUAGUACGCUUUGGAAACUGUUUAACUUGAGUGCAGGAGAGAAAAGUGGAAUUCCUAGUGUAGCGGUGAAAUGCGUAGAUAUAUGGAGGAACACCGGUGGCGAAAGCGGCUCUCUGGCUUGUAACUGACGCUGAGGCUCGAAAGCGUGGGGAGCAAACAGGAUUAGAUACCCUGGUAGUCCACGCCGUAAACGAUGAGUGCUAGGUGUUAGACCCUUUCCGGGGUUUAGUGCCGUAGCUAACGCAUUAAGCACUCCGCCUGGGGAGUACGACCGCAAGGUUG
rnacentral:rRNA from 1 species